rnacentral:rRNA from 1 species
GACGAACCGUGCGAACGUUAUUCGGAAUCACUGGGCUUAAAGCGCGUGUAGGCGGGACGGCACGUCGGUCGCUGAAAGCCCCCGGCUCAACCGGGGAACGGGCGCCGAUACGACCGGCCUGGAGGGACGUAGGGGGACCUGGAACUUCCGGUGGAGCGGUGAAAUGCGUUGAGAUCGGAAGGAACGCCCGUGGCGAAAGCGAGGUCCUGGACGUCUGCUGACGCUGAGACGCGAAAGCCAGGGGAGCGAACGGGG